rnacentral:rRNA from 1 species
GUGGGGAAUCUUGCGCAAUGGGCGAAAGCCUGACGCAGCGACGCCGCGUGGGUGAUGAAGGCCUUCGGGUUGUAAAGCCCUGUGGGGAGGGACGAACACGUCGCGACCUAAUACGUCGUGACUCUGACGGUACCUCCUUAGCAAGCACCGGCUAACUCUGUGCCAGCAGCCGCGGUAAGACAGAGGGUGCAAACGUUGCUCGGAAUUACUGGGCGUAAAGCGCAUGUAGGCGGUUCCGUAAGUCGGAUGUGAAAGCCCUCGGCUUAACCGAGGAAGUGCAUUCGAUACUGCAGAACUAGAGUACCGGAGAGGGUCGUGGAAUUCCUGGUGUAGAGGUGAAAUUCGUAGAUAUCAGGAGGAACACCGGCGGCGAAGGCGGCGACCUGGACGGAUACUGACGCUCAGAUGCGAAAGCGUGGGUAGCAAACAGGAUUAGAUACCCCGGUAGUCC